ACGCUCGACACCUACGUGAGGCAGCAGUCGGGAAUAUUGCGCAAUGGAGGAAACUCUGACGCAGUGACGCCGCGUAUAGGAAGAGGGUCUUCGGAUUGUAAACUAUUGUCGUUAGGGAAGAAAAAGGACAGUACCUAAGGAGGAAGCUCCGGCUAACUACGUGCCAACAGCCGCGGUAAUCUGAGCGGGCUGGCAAGGC
rnacentral:rRNA from 1 species